GUUGUUUUGGCAGAUUAGUGCGAAAGAUUUAGAAUCUUUUUAAGUAAGGUUUCUUUACAGACAAUA
rnacentral:tRNA from 1 species